GACGAACGCUGGCGGCGUGCCUAAUACAUACAAGUAGAACGCUGAAGAGAGGAGCUUGCUCUUCUUGGAUGAGUUGCGAACGGGUGAGUAACGCGUAGGUAACCUGCCUUGUAGCGGGGGAUAACUAUUGGAAACGAUAGCUAAUACCGCAUAACAAUGGAUGACACAUGUCAUUUAUUUGAAAGGGGCAAUUGCUCCACUACAAGAUGGACCUGCGUUGUAUUAGCUAGUAGGUGAGGUAACGGCUCACCUAGGCGACGAUACAUAGCCGACCUGAGAGGGUGAUCGGCCACACUGGGACUGAGACACGGCCCAGACUCCUACGGGAGGCAGCAGUAGGGAAUCUUCGGCAAUGGGGGCAACCCUGACCGAGCAACGCCGCGUGAGUGAAGAAGGUUUUCGGAUCGUAAAGCUCUGUUGUAAGUCAAGAACGAGUGUGAGAGUGGAAAGUUCACACUGUGACGGUAGCUUACCAGAAAGGGACGGCUAACUACGUGCCAGCAGCCGCGGUAAUACGUAGGUCCCGAGCGUUGUCCGGAUUUAUUGGGCGUAAAGCGAGCGCAGGCGGUUUGAUAAGUCUGAAGUUAAAGGCUGUGGCUCAACCAUAGUUCGCUUUGGAAACUGUCAAACUUGAGUGCAGAAGGGGAGAGUGGAAUUCCAUGUGUAGCGGUGAAAUGCGUAGAUAUAUGGAGGAACACCGGUGGCGAAAGCGGCUCUCUGGUCUGUAACUGACGCUGAGGCUCGAAAGCGUGGGGAGCGAACAGGAUUAGAUACCCUGGUAGUCCACGCCGUAAACGAUGAGUGCUAGGUGUUGGAUCCUUUCCGGGAUUCAGUGCCGCAGCUAACGCAUUAAGCACUCCGCCUGGGGAGUACGACCGCAAGGUUGAAACUCAAAGGAAUUGACGGGGGCCCGCACAAGCGGUGGAGCAUGUGGUUUAAUUCGAAGCAACGCGAAGAACCUUACCAGGUCUUGACAUCCCGAUGCUAUUUCUAGAGAUAGAAAGUUACUUCGGUACAUCGGUGACAGGUGGUGCAUGGUUGUCGUCAGCUCGUGUCGUGAGAUGUUGGGUUAAGUCCCGCAACGAGCGCAACCCCUAUUGUUAGUUGCCAUCAUUCAGUUGGGCACUCUAGCGAGACUGCCGGUAAUAAACCGGAGGAAGGUGGGGAUGACGUCAAAUCAUCAUGCCCCUUAUGACCUGGGCUACACACGUGCUACAAUGGUUGGUACAACGAGUUGCGAGUCGGUGACGGCAAGCUAAUCUCUUAAAGCCAAUCUCAGUUCGGAUUGUAGGCUGCAACUCGCCUACAUGAAGUCGGAAUCGCUAGUAAUCGCGGAUCAGCACGCCGCGGUGAAUACGUUCCCGGGCCU
rnacentral:rRNA from 1 species